UUCCGGAACGGAUUUAUUGGUACCCCGAAGGGUAUAACGAAGAUAAGUCUCACAAGCUAGUAUUAACUAAUUCACGGGAUAAUUGGCUGUUAUCGAGUUUCGAAAUCGUUUGGAACAAAGUAGAGUAUAAAUAAUUAAACACAAGGUAAUUAUUUGGCAUGAUAAUCUAGAUUAAUAAUGGAUAAACUAAAUCAGACAUAGUUUAUAUAAUGACUUUGCAUGAAAUUCCAAUCCGUAAAACAAGUAAUAAAAAUCCCAAAUUAUUCCCAUAAUAAUUUGAAUGGUUUGAUAAGUUCCCACGCUGUUUUGAAAACUAUGUAAUUAUAUUUAGAAAGCGUCCCUUAUGCUCUACUUAUUACAAAAGGGAUAAAUAUAUCUAAACGUUGGAUAGAAAUUUGUUAUAAUUACAUCAGGUUUUAAAUUACGAAAUCCUUUAUGAUUUGCUUGUAUUCCCCCCUUAAAAACAUGAAAAACUCAGAAAAGUGUAGGGGUAUGAACUCACCUGACGAGGGUGAUAUGAAUGAACGGACGGUAUAGGAUGCUAGGUGUCAAUUGAGGACUUGAACACACGUGAGGCUCCUAUGUAACAUGAAGUUAUACAUAAUUGUAUCUAAUUAGUUAUUAAUCACUAAUUAAGUAAGUAAAUACACUCUAAUAUGUGAAAAUACUUUAUUUCAAGUGUUAGGAAUGAUACGGGUUGUAUCUAAGGAGUGUAUGGCCUCAUUAUGGAGUUUACUCUUCAAGUGGAAGCCCUUAGGGGUGUUUACGGCCCAAAGACCACUUCCCCAUGAGUUUACGGCCGUAAACUCAUGGUAGUGGUGUUCUUGGUUGCUUAAAGAUCUUAUAUCACUUAAAGAAGUAAGCUAGACUCAAUUCUAGGGCAUAGGAAGUGAUUAGGGCUCCAAAUGGACCCUUUAGGGAGUUCAUGUCUGUAAACAUAUGGGUUUACGGCCGUAAACUCAUAUUUGUCCCAUCAUUUCAUGUUUUGGUGUUUAUAGGUUUAGCAUACAAGUUUCUAGCCAUUUAUACAAGCCAUAGGGGAAGUUAGGGCACUAUAUGACCCCUUUAUGGAGUUUACGGCUAAAGGACCAAUUCCUUGGGGGUUUACGGCCGUAAACUUUAUGGGGAAUUGGUCUCUUUGAUGUUUAAUGCCCCUACUUUGAUGUUGGUUGAUUAUGUGUUGAGUUCUAGGCAUAAGGAAGGAAGAAAGGGCAACUUUGCACCCUUAAAGGGAGUUCACGACCCAAGAAUAUUCAUUGGCCGUAAACUCUCAUUCAUCCUUGAUUCAUGGUGUUUUCUAAGUCCAAAACAUGUUAAUCCUAGUGUACCAUGAGUUAAGAUAGGAAUACUUACAAUCUAGGAGCUUGAAAUGGAUGAUUCUUGAUCAAAUCCGAGUUUGAGGAGAGAGGGACUUCUAAGAGUGGAAAAAGAAUGAAAGGGAGGACCACUCAUUCCUUAUAUAGGGUGAGUUUACUGCCCAAGUGAGUUUACAGCCUAGAGUUUACCGCCUGGAGUUUACCGCCGUAAACCCCAUGUUUACGACCGUAAACUCCAUCUUUUGGAGUUUGUGGCAUGAUUUUUGGUGUAAGGACUUUAGUGGCGGUUUUCUAACACUUGAUCCUUAAGUGUAGUCGGCUCGGAAUACUAAUACGGACNAUCGUUAAGUGUGAAAAGCUCGGAAUACUAAAACAGAUUUUAAAUUUGCUAAAAGAUGGCAGAAAUGAAUUUGACUUCCAAAUGAAGUGUAUGACUGUAGAAAUUAUAUAAAUGAAAUAUUCAGGUUGUCACAUCAUCCCCGUGUUAGAGGGAUUUUCUUCCUGAAAUUAGAGUUCAAACAACUAAGUUAUAAUACAAUAAUUAAGCAAAUACAUGAGGGUAUAUAAGUUUCAUUUGAUCCACGCGCUCCCAAGUGAACUCCGGUCCUCGUUGGGUGUUCCAUCGAACUUUGAGAAUUGGGAUGCGACUUUGUUUCAUACGUUUGAUCUCUCGAUCCGUGAUUUCGAUUGGUUCUUCCACGAAGUUCAAAUUUUCGUUGAUUUUGAUCUCAUCAUGAGGGAUCACCAGGGUUUCAUCGGAUAGGCACUUCUUAAGAUUAGAGACGUGGAAUAUAGGAUGGAUGUUGCUAAGUUCUUGGGGUAAUCGGAGUUUAUAGGCUACGGGACCGAUCCUAGCGAGGAUCUCGAAAGGUCCUUUGUACCUUGGGUUUAAUUUCCCAUGCUUUCCAAAGCAGAUCAUGCCUUUCCAGGGCGAGACCUUCAACAGGACAUGAUGUCCAACCUGGAAUUCCAAGGGUUUUCGUCGUUAAUCGGCAUAGCUCUUUUUUCCGUCUCUAGAGGCUUUCAAUCGAUCUUGGAUUUGGAUGAUCUUUUAGGUGGUUUCAAGGACAAUUUCAGGGCCAGUGAGAGCACUGUCGGGGACUCGACCCCUGGCUAGCUGCGUGUCCCCUACCUCAGCCCAGCACACUGUGGGGAUCUGCACUUGCGACCGUAGAGGCUUCGAAUUGGGCAGCCUUGAUACUGGUGCGUUAACUGUUGUUAUAUGAGAACUCAAGCAAAGGUAAAUGGAUGUUCCACGACUUUCUGAAAGCGAUGACACAUGCUAUCAACAUGUCUUCGAAGGUCUGGAUAGUUCUCUCACUCUACCCAUCUGUCUAAGGAUGAUAAGCUGUGCUCAUGUCUAGCUUAGUUCCAAGAGCCUUCUGUAGGGACUGCCAAAAUAUCGAGGUAAACCUGCUAUCUCGAUCGGAGAUAAUCGAUACAGGCACACCGUGCAGUCGGACUACUUCUUGAAUGUAGAUAUGCGUGAGUCUUUCCAUCUUGAAUGUUUCUUUAAUCGGUAGGAAGUGAGCGGAUUUUGUCAAUCGAUCGACUAUUACCCAAAUGGUAUCAUACCCACUCGGAGAUUUGGGUAAUUUGGUAAUGAAAUCCAUAUUAAUCAUCUCCCAUUUCCACUUAGGUGUUUCGGGCUACUGGAGUAGACCCGAGGGCUUCUGAUAUUCGACCUUCACCUUGGCGUAAGUCAGACACUUGCCCACAAAGGUAGCGAUUUCGGCUUUCAUGUUUGGCCACGAAUAUAGUUUCUUGAGAUCCAGGUACAUCUUAUCUGAACUUGGGUGCACGGAGUAUCUAGUCUUGUGAGCUGUGUUCAUGACAACCUUCAUGAAACCUCCGAACUUUGGGGUCCAAAUUUAAUCCAUGAAACAAUAGACUUUGUCACCUCUGAUCUCAAGAUUAUUAUCCAUUCCCCUUAAGGCAUCAUUCAACACGUUCACUGGUUUUAGGGCUUCCAACUGAGCCUCUCGGAUCUAUGCGGAUAAGUGGGAAUGAAUGGUCAUUGUUAGUGUCUUUGCGUUGUUGCAUGAGCUUUCCUUUCGGCUAAGGGAAUCUGCCACCACAUUGGCCUUGUCGGGAUGGUAGAGGAUUUCGCACUCAUAGUCGAUGAGCAGCUAUACCCAUCGCCGUUGUCUCAUGUUUAAGUCUUUCUGAUCGAAGAUGUGUUGUAGGCUUUUAUGGUCGGUGAAAAUCAUGCACUUGGUCCCGUAAAGGUAAUGUCUCCAAAUCUUCAGUGCGAAGACCACUACUCCUAACUCCAGGUCGUGAGUCAUAUAGUUGACUUCAUGUGCUUUCAGCUUUCUUGAGGCAUAAGCAAUAACUUUUCCUCGAUGCAUGAGCACACAGCCUAAGCCCUGAUUGGAUGCAUCACAGUAGACAACAAAGUCUUCCAUCCCUUCGGGAAGGGAUAGGAUAGGUGCGCUACUCAAGGCUCACUUCAACGUUUGGAAUGCAACGUCUUGCUUUUCACUCCAACAAAAGGGUACACCUUUCUGUGUCAGAGUAGUUAAGGGUUUGACAAUUCUAGAAAAUUUUUGGAUGAAUCUACGAUAAUAUCUGGCAAGACCCAAGAAUUGACGGAUUUCUGUGGGUGUCUUCGGUGCCGACCAAUUCUCUAUCGCCUUGAUUUUGGAAGGAUCCACGUGUAUGCCCUCCUCUCUUACCACAUGACCUAGGAAAGUUACCUUCCGAAUCCAGAAUUACACUUGGAGAAUUUUGCGUACAACUUCUACGAUCUAAGUGUUUCCAGCACUAAUCUCAAGUGUUUUUUUGUGAUUUUCCUCACUUUUGGAAUAGACAAGUAUAUCGUCAAUGAACACAAUAACGAACUUGUCCAGAAAGGAUGACACAGCUGGUUCAUUAGGUCCAUGAACACUGCCGGUACGUUGGUUAGACCAAAGGGCAUCACUACAAACUCGUAGUGACCAUAUCGAGUCCUGAAUGCUGUCUUGGAAACAUCACUCUCAUGAACCCGUAGCUAAUGGUACCCUGACCUAAGGUCUAUUUUCGAGAAGUAAUUGGCUCCCUGAAGUUGAUCGAAAAGGUCAUCUAUUCGAAGAAGAGGAUAACAGUUUUUGACGGCCAGCUUGUUCAGUUCCCGAUAGUCUAUACACAUCCGAAAGGAUCCAUCUUUGUUCUUCACAAAUAACACCGGGACUCCCCAGGGUGAGGAACGCGGUCUGAUGAAUCCUUUGCUGAGUAGCUCAUUAAGCUGACUGGAUAACUCCUGCAUUUCUGCUGGCGCUAAGUGAUAUGGAGACUUGGCUACGGGGGUAGCUUAGGGAAUUAACUCGAUGCGAAACUCGACUUGACGUUUGGGAGGAAUUCCUGGGAGCUCUUCGGGAAAGACAUCAGGAAAGUUGCAGACUUCGGGGAUGCUCUCGAGGUAUUUAGUUUCCUGUUUUUCGUUAAUUACAUGAGCUAGGAAUGCAUGGCACUCAUUUCUCAUAAGUUUUUGAGCUUUGAUGCAUGAAAUGAUGCGAAGAUUGGAACUAAGUUUAUCGCCGUAGAUCAUGAGGGUCUGGCCGGAGGGAAGAUUAAGACAGAUAGAUUUUUCGUAACAAAGAAUAUCAGCAUGAUUGGGGCUCAACCAAUCCAUGCCAAUGAUAACAUCAAAGCUCUUUAUAGAGACUGACAUAAGGUCGAUGUGAAAAGAAUGGUCGUUUAGGGUAAGGGUGCAACCUAUGAAUAUAUCGUUAGCGUUCUCUUUCUCGCCGUUAGCCAUGUCGACAGUGAACAUUUUGGUUAAUGGUUGAGGACUAUGUUUAAGAAGAUGCUUGAAUGCAUGACUAACAAAACUUCUUUCAGCACCAGAAUCGAAAAGGAUGCAUGCAUAAGAGUUGUCGAGAAGGAACGUACCCGUGAUAACUGUGGGAACGGCGACUGCCUCCUCUUGCCCCAUCGUUAGAACUCUCCUAGUGUUUCCAGCUUUUGCUUUUGGGCAAUUCCUCUUGUAAUGUCCGACCUCACCACAACCAUAGCAGGCUUGACUGACACCUACCCCAGAUGCUUGAUUGGUUGGUUAGGCUGGUGCUCUGCAACAUCGAGUAAUGUGACCCUUCUUGCCACAGUUGUUGCAAAGAAUUUCACGACAUGGGCCGGGGAUACGAUGGUGGUAACUGCACUUAUUGCACCAUGGGAGGGUACCAGUAUAUCCACUGGUAGGUGCUUGAGAUGUAGGAGUGGCGACAGGAGUAGUAGCAGCGUGGACUGCCACAGUUUGUUGCUUCUUGGAGGACCCUUGCGAACUCUGACCCUUUCGCUUGUUCCAAAAUUUCUUUUUAUUCUCUCCACUCUCCUUUGCUAGUUCCGAAGUGGUUGUUACUUUAUCCAGAUCGACCCCGUGAUCUAUAAGGGUCUGUGCCAGGCACUUGGCGCUGUCAAAGGUGUUUGGCCUAGCCGCCAAGACAUUUCCUUUGGUUGGCUAGGUCCGCCCCCAAAUGUAUCUUUCAAUCUUUUUGCUUUCCGGGGUGACCAUCCCCGGGAAAAGGAGUGCUAGGUUUUCAAACCCUGAAGUGUAGGCAGCAAUUUCGGAACCCUUCAUCUUUAGGUUCCAAAUUUCGUGCUCCAAUUUCUGCAUUUCGCCCUGCGGGCAGUACUCAGCAAUUAUGAGCUCUUUCAAGCUCCCCCAACCCAUAGCGUUUGCCACUGGUAGGGUUAGGGAUUUGACCCGACCAUUCCACCAGGUCAGUGCCCUGUUGGCGAAGGUGCAAGCGGCGAAUUUUACUUUGUUGACCUCGGAACAUGAACAUAUUUCGAAAAUGGAUUCAAUUUUCUCGAUCCAUUGAGUCAGGGCAAUACCACCUCCAGUGCCGUCGAAGGAUGUGGGUUUUGAGUCCCUGAUGUCUUUAUAGGAACACUCUUUCUGGUGUCCCUGACCACCUUCCUGGUUUUGGGGUUGGGUACCACCUCCUGGCCUGCCAGAACCGCCGAGGUUCAUCUGUGACAUUGCAGCUGCCGCUGCGGCUGUAACAGCUGCCUAAAACAUUACAUGAUCGAAUUGAGGAGGAGGUGGUGGCGGAGGAUUAUUGUUCUUUGAGCUGGGUCUCUUCUUUGGAGGCAUCUCGUUCUAAAAAUGAUCAGGAAAGAGAGGAUGGUAAGUCCUCUGGAUAGAAUCAAGAGAUAUGAAACAAGAGAUAUCUCAUUAUGGCAGAUAGAGAGUUCUACUAAGCGAUAAAACAGGAAAGAGUUACUAAAGCAAGUAAACUAUCACUAAGGAAGAAUGAGUAGCAACACUUGGAAUGAAUUUCUACAACGUAUUCGGCUCUGACUAAAAUACUCCUAUACUAUUUUAUGUUUUGUUACGACGAUGACUGGUUGUUUGGAUAUUUUGGUAAGUUUUAGGCCUGCUGUACACCACAGUCACUCCCAAGCACAUGUUUGCCAUGUCUCGAAUGAAUAUAGUUGAUCAGGAGAUAUUGACCCUAGGCACGACUACAUAACUGCCCAGGGUUAACCGCAGUGCCCAACACCCAAUUACUUUUGUUUUGUUCUGCUCGUGGUUACUGUUUCUGAUAUUUAGGUAUUCUUGUAUACUUUUUGUAAAAUACUUGUAUUUUAAAGUAUACUUUUAGUCCAGAGCGCUUUGGCCCCUUAGUGUUUAUAGUUAUAUACCAUGUAAGGUUCGAUAUACUUAGUUCACUAUAAAAAAAACUCUGAUACCAAUCUGUCACACCCCAAAACCAACGGCGGAAACGGUCCGGGGUGGAGGACGUGAUGCGUAGUAUCACAACCAUUGUACAUAGUAAGCAUAGUAAACGCAACCGUUACAUUACAUAAGAAUAUUUACAUUUGUUUAAAGGCAAAGAAUAUACAUAUAUUAAGUACAUCAGUAAUAACAAAAGUAAAGACGAGACUUCUAUAUGCUCCGUCUUCUCCAAAAGUAAACGAGAUACCUGUGAAACAUGAACCUGAGAAUACAAGCAGUUUUAGAAAUAUCAGCAUAAAGCCGGUGAGUUCAUAAGCAUGUUUUUUAAGGAAAAGCUAGUUAUCAAAUCUUGUGAAAAUAGUUCAGUUUCAUUGAUAAAGAAUGCAGUAAAUAUUGAAAACCAUUACUAUUGAGUUAUGAAAUACAAUGCAUGUUUUCGAAGAAAAUCCCAUAUUUUCUAACAUAUUAGUCGAUUUCCAUAUGAUAAGAAAACCCUGGUUACCACCAGUAAGUAUAGUAGUUUUACUACUUAAGAUAAAACCAUAAGUUGAAUCCCUGGAUUACCAUCCAGUAAGUAGGUAGGUAGUUUUAUUACAUAAAUAAAACUAUAGAAGAAAGAAAAGAAAUCCGUGAACAAAGUUAGUUUAUACGUAUUGUGAGUCGUAUAACCAUACUAAUUUGACCCGUGACCUCCUUGACGUUCUUCAGGUGUCGUACGAUUUCCAAAAUUUGUCACCCCAGGCAUGCCCGCCUAACUGUAGCUAGUAGUUUAGGUGUGGGAUUGUCAGUCCCGAAUAGAUCUAUCCACAAAUUUCACGCUCUCCCUACAGGAGACUCAGGUUAUACUUCCGAAGAGGAUUUAUUGGUACCCCGAAGGGUAUAAUGAAGCUAAGUCUCACAAGCUAGUAUUAACUAAUUCACGGGAUAAUUAGCUAUUAUCGAGUUUCGAAAUUGUUUGGAACAAAGUAGAGUAUAAAUAAUUAAACACAAGUAAUUAUUUNUGAUACUCUAGAUUAAUAAUGGAUAAACUAAAUCAGACAUAGUUUAUAUAAUGACUUUUCAUGAAAUUCGAAUCCGUAAAACAAGUAAUGAAAAUCCCAAAUUAUUCCCAUAAUAAUUUGAAUGGUUCGAUAAGUUCCUACGCUGUUUUGAAAACUAUGUAAUAAUAUUUAGAAAGCGUGCCUUAUGCUCCACAUAUUACAAAAGGGAUAAAGAUAUAUAAAAGUUUGAUAGAAAUUUGUUAUAAGUACAUCAGUUUUUACAUUACGAAAUCCUUUAUGAUUUGCUUGUAUUCCCCCCCCCCCUGAAAACAUGAAAAACAUGGAAAAGUGUAGGGGUAUGAACUCACCUGACGAGGGUGAUAUGAAUGAACGGACGGUAUAGGAUGCUAGGUGUCAAUUGAGGACUUGAACACACGCGAGGAUCCUUUGUAACAUGAAGUGAUACAUAAUUGUAUCUAAUUAGUUAUUAAUCACUAAUUAAGUAAGUAAAUACACUCUAAUACGUGAAAACACU
rnacentral:lncRNA from 1 species